rnacentral:pre_miRNA from 1 species
CACGUACUCCCUCCGUCCGAAAAUAGUUGUCAUCAAAAUGGAUAAAAAAGGAUGUAUCUAAAACUAAAAUACAUCUAGAUACAUCCCCUUUUAUUUAUUUUGAUGACAAGUAUUUCCGGACGGAGGGAGUAGCUA